rnacentral:rRNA from 1 species
GACGAACGCUGGCGGCGUGCUUAACACAUGCAAGUCGAACGGAAAGGCCCUGCUUUUGUGGGGUGCUCGAGUGGCGAACGGGUGAGUAACACGUGAGUAACCUGCCCUUGACUUUGGGAUAACUUCAGGAAACUGGGGCUAAUACCGGAUAGGAGCUCCUGCUGCAUGGUGGGGGUUGGAAAGUUUCGGCGGUUGGGGAUGGUCUCGCGGCUUAUCGGCUUGUUGGUGGGGUAGUGGCUUACCAAGGCUUUGACGGGUAGCCGGCCUGAGAUGGUGACCGGCCACAUUGGGCCUGAGAUACGGCCCAGCCUCCUACGGGAGGCAGCGGUGGAGAAUAUUGCACAAUGGGCGGAAGCCUGAUGCAACAACGCCGCGUGCGGGAUGACGGCCUUCGGGUUGUAAACCGCAUCCGCCUGUGACGAGGAGUGAGUGACGGUAAUGGGUAAAGAAGCACCGGCUAACUACGUG